GGUGGCUCAAUAGUAGAGUACUUGCCUUGCAUGCAUGAGGCCCUGGGUUUGAUUCCUCAGCACCA
rnacentral:tRNA from 1 species